UCACUCGCUCUUCCUUCCUGCAUUGCUGUUCUGUUUGCCACUCCCACAUCACAAGGUUCUAUAUCUGUGGCCAUAGAGACAGGGGAAACUUACCCUGUCAUUCUGAUGUCUGUUUUGUACUGAGUCCCCUGGAAAUGAAUUAGCCACUGGGGAUAAUGAAUAGAGGACAAGAGAACAUGCCAAUGAACUGCAUCAGGUCAACCUUGAAGUUUGCCUCAAGGCCCACAUAACCCACAAGGUGAUAUUCAGCUAACCAGAACAGCCCUGCGCACAGAUCAGAGAGGAUUGUGGUGGAAAAUAGAAGGCCUCCUUUACUCCCAAGUCUACCCAUCAGCCUAGAAACCAGUAGAAUCAUUAUCACUGCUGGUUUUGUUCAGCCAAUACGCUUCCCAUGGAACCUGGGGUCAACUCUUGUCUGGUUCAAGCCAUCUGAGACCACUGACCCUCCAACUGGACAGGGUUGAUUCCCUGCAGCAAUGUUCAAUGAGUGAUCUUCUAACAUUAGAGGGACAAAAAUAUCACUCUCAGAUGAUGUUCAUGAUGCCAUUUUGUGAAGAUGUAUCCCAUAAAGAGCCAUGAAGCUUGACUACAUUUGCAUGGACCACUGAUUACCUCAUUUUUCCUCACUCCUAAUCACCUUUCCUAAUGCCUUGGACCACCUUGCUCCUCUAUCUCAUAAAUAUCUGUAAGACCCCAUCUUCAGGGAGGUGGAUUUGAGAGGUGUUCUCCCACUUCCUUGUCUGGCUGCUUUGUGAAUAAAAUCUUUUCUCUACUGCAAAACUUGUUAUCUCAGUGAUUGGCUUCUUUGUGCAAGGGGCAGAACAUGAUGGCUCAUUAUCACCUCCACAUUCAUCUUUCUGGCCUGGAUCCCAUCUCUGAAUUCCAAACUCCAAAUCUCUACUUGAAGAAGUUACUCAGACUUCUAAUAGACUUAUCAACUUAGCACAGACAAAACUGAACUCUGCAUCUCCCUCCACUACCUUCUGUUACGCCCACAUUCUUCUCUGUGUCAAUAAACAUCAAUCCCAUUCAUUUAGUUGCUCACACUAAACUCCUUGCAGUUAACCUGGAAACCUUCCUUUCUCUCAUGCCCAAAUGCAAUGCAUCAGCACGUCUUAUUAGCCUAACCUUUAUAGUAUCCUUUGAUCUUUAGCCCUUACUCUGGUCAUUUUGACUUCUGGACUUUUCACAUUUCCAACUCAGGAUGUACAGGGCUUAUAGCUGCAAUUCUGGAAGUGUACUUCUCCAGAGAAGACUUUUAGACUGUGAUCUCAUUGGAGCAGGGUUGAUUUCUGAUCCAUACUUUUAACCUUAGAGCCUAGUGAAGUGCCUGGAGGUACUUGGCAAAUGACCAAAGAGAGCUAAAUGACAACUGGACAGAGCACAUUGCCAAGAAGUGAAUAUAGCUUGACAAAGUCUUGCCAAUGUAGAAUUUUACCUGAAUGUUUGUUAAACACAGUUGAUGAGAGGCUGUUGUCUUGGACCAGCCUCCUGCACUAG